AUUGAACGCUGGCGGCAUGCCUUACACAUGCAAGUCGAACGGUAACAGGUCUUCGGAUGCUGACGAGUGGCGAACGGGUGAGUAAUACAUCGGAACGUGCCUAGUAGUGGGGGAUAACUACUCGAAAGAGUGGCUAAUACCGCAUGAGAUCUACGGAUGAAAGCAGGGGAUCGCAAGACCUUGUGCUACUAGAGCGGCCGAUGGCAGAUGAGGUAGUUGGUGGGAUAAAAGCUUACCAAGCCGACGAUCUGGAGCUGGUCUGAGAGGACGAUCAGCCACACUGGGACUGAGACACGGCCCAGACUCCUACGGGAGGCAGCAGUGGGGAAUUUUGGACAAUGGGCGCAAGCCUGAUCCAGCAAUGCCGCGUGCAGGAUGAAGGCCUUCGGGUUGUAAACUGCUUUUGUACGGAACGAAAAGCCCUGGGUUAAUACCCUGGGGUCAUGACGGUACCGUAAGAAUAAGCACCGGCUAACUACGUGCCAGCCGCCGCGGUAAAAC
rnacentral:rRNA from 1 species